rnacentral:lncRNA from 1 species
CCACACCCCCUCCCCUCUGUCUCUUGCAGGAUUCCUCCAUUGAUAGGCCAGGCAGCACCUCUUUUCUCAAACCUCAAUUUCUCUCACCCUCUUAGCCCUCAAGUCAUGUUAGGAUUUGUUGAUGGUAAGCACCAUACAGGAAAGCCCCACGUUCAUCUCUCAAGGCCCACAUUCAUCUCUCUUUCCUCCCAUCCACUUCUCUCUUUGAUCCUUCGUGGGCCAAUUUCGUGGAAGGUUUUACCUACAAAAUUAGUAUAUUAGAGGAUUUUGGUGAAAAAUAGGGUAAUUAGAAAUCUUUUAGGUCUUCAAGUUGGAUUAGAAAAGGAUUGACAGUAUGUUGAAUUUAUUAAUAAUAUGAUACCACUUAUUUUAUUUAUAAGUUAUAUUUUAUUUCAUUAUGUAUUUUGUAAGUGAUGAGAUCCUGAAAAUAACAUGCAUGAUGCAGUGUUCUAUGAUUAUAAUAAUUUGUUGUAUAUAGAUAAUUUAUUACAUAAUAUUAUCUAGAAUAUAUUUAUCAUGUCAUAUGAUGUCGCUGUCUGAUUCUAAUUGAUCCAAUAGUUGAACUGGUGAUAUGUCAUCUGCUCAUUUUUCUAGUUUGAUGAAUGGGUCGGUUUUCAAAAGUGUUUGAGAGGUGCUGUGGACUGAUCUUCACGGACUUCAAAAUAUUUUUUAAUCUUUUUGGAUGUGUUUAUGAUAAAAUGGUGCGAGUCAACCAUCUUGGCAAAAGAACAAGAACAAAAGAAAUGCUGGGAAUAGCACUUCCAUCUGAUUCACAUGGCCUCCAUAUGUUCUCAAAGCUUUCCCUUUUCGGGUCGACCAGCCGGCCAAGUCAAAUGGGCUUUCUCCACACUAUGUUUCUAUGAGUGGCCCAAUCCGGUAGCGCACUUGGGUGACAAACAUGGUACCUGUGCACGUGCGCACGACUGAUUGAUAGCUCCAUAUAAAAUUUGAUGGUCCGUGAUUAAAGAAAUUUGAAAUAUCAAGCUUUAAAGGUUGAGAUUUUUUUAGGCUCAUCAUUUUUUUUUUGGUGUCAAAUAGCAAAAAAGCAAACCGAAAAACUAUAUAUNNNNNNNNNNNNNNNNNNNNUAGCAAAAAGCAACCGAAAAACUAUAUAUAUAUAUAUAUAUAUAUAUAUAUAUAUAUAUAUAUUCGAGAAAAUUAAAUCAUGUAGCAUUUGAUGUAGUCUUCAUUGUACUAAUUGAAAGUAGCAAUUAAAUGCAUGCUAUAUUAGAAUAUUUAUUCUCAAAAAUUUUUCAUGGGUUCGUCUUGGAUUGCUGAUGAGAUAAAACAGUGUCUUAAUUGGUUUUUGUAUCCCUUAGCCAAGAGAUAGCCUUGAUAUUGGAUGUUAAAAACCUCUCUGUUGUAUGUCUAAAUUUUUUUUUAUUUUACUAUUUAAAAGUGGCAUAAUUUAGAAUUCUUCUUAAAUGUUUAAACCAUUCUACACUUUUAACAAAAAUUAUCCUAGUGUUGCUAAGAACUAUAAUGAAGAAAAUUUUCUAAUAUUGGAAUUUUUAUGAUUCUAUGCAUAAUAAUAAUCUCACUUUCUACAAAAUUUACAGUCAUAGCAAUUUGUCCAUUAGGAUUUCAUAGCAAAAAUUAAACUUAUGAAAAGUAAUUCUUGAGUAAUCUGAUAAGGACAUAUAAGAACCUACUCCAUAUAUUCUUAUAAAAAAUUUACAUUCUAUGUUUUAAAAAAAAUAUAUUUUAUAUCUAAAAUUUUUAUUAGUUGUCAAAUGCAUUUAUAGGCUGGCAAGAUUUUGACCUAGUUUUUAAAGGAUUGGCAAUCUUUCAAACUCAAAUGGAGAGCAAUGCUGCCAACAUCUCGAAAAGAUUAAAUUGUAAGCAUUAUAUGUCACACAUAGGUCGUAGUUUAAGAUGUUGCUAGCACCGAUUAUUAUUUAUUCUUAAGAGAAAAAAAAAUGAUAAAUUCUAAUGGAAGAAUUAAUAAAUCUGAGGCAAUAAUUGCUUGCCAACCCAUUCUAGAAUGGAAGACUAACUUAGCGGUCAUUGCAUCGACCACCAUACUUUGUGGGGCCCCCAUGGGAACUAAAAUUCCAUCUGGAAGCCGGUUCACUGUAGUGCCAUGGGACGACCCAAUGAGAUAUUUUUUUUUAAUGGAUAGAAACGAAUGGAACUUUUGAAAUGAUAAAAGGAUAAAACAAAGCCUUAUCCGGCUUUUUCCUAGAUACACGUGUCACCACCUCUAUAGUCCCAGGUAUUAAUUUCUAAUUCCAACUAGUUUGUUAACUGGCAGCCAACUUGCAACCGCGGCCUACGCGCCUAAGCCGGAAACUACCGGCCGUUACCGGUUCCGAAGCCGAAAAAUCUCUCCUCCUGACCGAAAUGCCCUCGCAAGAUUUUUCCUAGUACCCCUUGCUAUAAAACUAGGUAGAAGUGCAAGCCUUUUUUUUUUCUUUUAAAGAAAAAAUGAGUCAAUUCCCAGUGACACAUCUAAACCUUAGCUUUUGAAGGUAAAUUAACUAUUUUAUACAUUACUUGUGUUAGUUUAUGUUAGUAGUUCUAAUCUCUUAAAAUUCCUUCACUCUUAUUGUAUUGUUAAAACAAAACUUCAUGCUGUGGUACAAGGAACUUUUUCUCACAACAUGUUCAAAAAAAAAUUUGUGGUUUAGUUUAUAAAAAUUAUUAUCAAACACAGGCUAUAGUUGAUCAUUAAAAUAUUAUUUGUGAAAUCAAAAUUUGCGUCAUCAGAUAUGUUUUUUCAGAUCAUAAAAUCGCCCCUUAUCCAAACAAACGUUGAUUACUUCCAAGGCUCGUUAAUCAAGUGCCCUCCCCUUUCAGACCCAAUCCCUUCCCUUGCGCUGAGCCACAUUGUGCUGCGUGCGUGUGAAAGAAUCGCGUGCUCGGAGGUAGUUUCGUCUUUUGGCGACCGCUGGAUUGAUGCGCCGGCGCCCAAAUGACGGAAGGAGGGAACGCAAACGUGGUGGAGGUUAUAAUUUCUCAACAACGGAAGGGCACGAAUCGUAAAGCUAAAGCACGAAACUACCCUUUAUCUACUUUCCCUGCCAUGCGGAGGCAUUCAAGGAUGGGAAAAAGACGAGGGGCAUAUGAGUAAUUUUACAGUGACGCCUCAAUCCUCAUCCACCUCACCGCUUCGAUAUCGUCCCAUAAGACUCCCUCCCUGUUCAAAUACCACCUCUGUCCCUUGGACUCCAAGCUUCACCUUGAGGNNNNNNNNNNNNNNNNNNNNNNNNNNNNNNNNNNNNNNNNNNNNNNNNNNNNNNNNNNNNNNNNNNNNNNNNNNNNNNNNNNNNNNNNNNNNNNNNNNNNNNNNNNNNNNNNNNNNNNNNNNNNNNNNNNNNNNNNNNNNNNNNNNNNNNNNNNNNNNNNNNNNNNNNNNNNNNNNNNNNNNNNNNNNNNNNNNNNNNNNNNNNNNNNNNNNNNNNNNNNNNNNNNNNNNNNNNNNNNNNNNNNNNNNNNNNNNNNNNNNNNNNNNNNNNNNNNNNNNNNNNNNNNNNNNNNNNNNNNNNNNNNNNNNNNNNNNNNNNNNNNNNNNNNNNNNNNNNNNNNNNNNNNNNNNNNNNNNNNNNNNNNNNNNNNNNNNNNNNNNNNNNNNNNNNNNNNNNNNNNNNNNNNNNNNNNNNNNNNNNNNNNNNNNNNNNNNNNNNNNNNNNNNNNNNNNNNNNNNNNNNNNNNNNNNNNNNNNNNNNNNNNNNNNNNNNNNNNNNNNNNNNNNNNNNNNNNNNNNNNNNNNNNNNNNNNNNNNNNNNNNNNNNNNNNNNNNNNNNNNNAACUACUCUCUCUCUCUCUCCCUCCCUCCCUCCCUCCCCCCCCCCAUUUGAUCGUUGUUACUUCUUCCAUUAUCUUUAUGCGAGCAGAUCAUUGAGGCUGCGGUAAGAUUUGUUCGCAGGAGUCGAGGAGCUUGGGGCUUCUUUGUACAAGAUUUAGGUUUUUUUGUUUUUGUUGAAUGAUAAUUGUGGAGGAUUAAUAUUGGUGGUAUUGAUCGUUGUUCAGGAAAUUCCCUUAUCUGGUUGUUCGAGUGGAAGAAGCUUGUAUAGGCCUGCAGGUAAAGUGGAUUCCUUAUAUUUUCAGUGCAUCCAAUUAAUGUUGUGUAAAAAUAUUUGGUUUUGAGGCGAUCUAAGGUAUUGUGCUGGAGGGGGGAUUCAGAUCUCUGUGAAAUUUGAGAAUCUCUUUCGUAUCUGGAGUUGCUUGUUGGAUUGCGAUGUCUCCAAUUGGAGUUACUAUCAAGAUGUUAAUUUUUAUGAUAUAAUAUUUAUAGAUUUACGAAUAUAGAUGGUGUACAUAUGAAAUUAUGCAAUUUUGGUUAUUUUGGGAAAUCUUAGAGAGGUAAAGAGUGCAGCUUUGGAUCUGAAGCAGUUAUAAUAUUUUGACAUGUUCCCAAACUUAUAUGCUAUAUGAUGUUUCAGCCUUAGUGAUUUGGUUAAAAAUUGGACACCAGAACAACCAAGAGCGCCUUCUUUUUUGGGACAAAACGAUAAACUAUUGCAAUAUUAAGGAAAAACAGUAGCUUCAAGUAGCUAUUUCCUCAGAAUCCCUCCCAAGAUGAUAAGGUGAAUGAAAUUGUUUGAAAAGGAAAAGAUUUGAAGGAUAAAUAAAAAAUGGAGGGGGUGGGGAUGGGGAGACUAUCCAGUUCAUAAGAAGCUGCAGUUGAUGCAUGAGAAGAAUAAUCCUUUCAGGCCAUGUGAAGAUUAUGAUUGGAUCUGUAAGUCUGGAAAGCCAAUUAAGCCAUGUUCUCUUUUUGCCUGUUGCAUCAUCUGGAAGACCGUAUGUGCCAUCCUUUUUUAACAGAAUUUGACAAGACAUGCAUGAUAACAGCUUAGAUUUCAUGCUUAUCAUAAAUGGUCAAGUAUUUGGUGGACAUGUGUUAAAUGACCGUCAGUGACAGUGAGUAAAGAAUCCAAUGCAUGAUUGGCUCUUUCAGUGAUCAUGUUGGUUGAAAUUUGUGUGUUCUAUGUAUAACUUUGGAGCUGGUUUAGGACAAAGUGGUUGAAAAAUCUAUAAAUGAUAUUUUUCAGAUGAUCGCAUCAAAAAGAAUCAAGAAAAUAAUUCCAGAUUGAAAUAUGGAAUUUUAAAGAAAGUAAUAAAAUGUCUAUAAGGAAUAUAAUUUAGUGUUAUUUACACUAUUUAUAUCAUGACUUCGUUAUUAAGUCCGAGUCAUUAUAAAUAUGCUAAAGCACAUAUGUCGGCCAAUAGUAGCCAGUGAACAACUUCGUUCUCUAAAAUUAUGGGCAGUUGGAAACUACACCGAUAAAUUUAUAAAUGUUAAUAUCCAGAUCUUGUAUUUGCUUUGUGCUUUUUGGUCAGAACCUAUGAUGGCAUACAUAUCGCAUGGAGACAUGGAUAGCAGUUGCCAAUGGUGAAAUUCCAAAAUGGCAAAAUCUAGACAUGGAUACUUGUUGACAUCAUGCAAGUAUCCCAGUGUUACCAUAUAACAUGGAUACAUGUAUGUGUGACAUUACAAGAUAAAUAGGUAUAUACCAAGUCAACAAAAGUAUCUCAAGUGUUGUAGAUAAAAGCAGACUGCUUUUGGUCGGACAAACUGUGUAUCCUCUUUAGGCUCUUGUUUUGAUGAAGAUGAUUUUUCUCUGAUUGAAUAUCGCAAUUUCAUGAUCAUGAAUAAUCUAAAAUCAAUUUAAGUCCAGAUCGUAGUUCAAAAUUUGUAUCCUUUUGUGGAGCCAUUGGAUGCCAGAACUUUGGCUCUCAGUGCGUUGAUUGCCUCCAAGUAGUGGAAAAUUAUUAGUCUCUAUUGCUCAGCAGUAAGAACCUUCUACCGGAGGUAAUGAACCCACUCCAGAAAUUCUAUGGAAUCUCGGAGCUGCACAUGCUUCAAAGUGGUUCCUUCAAGAGAUCUUAAAAUGUUCACUUUCCCUUACCUGCACCGACUCCUGCUCCAAUGCCCACUCUGAUUGGCAACUAAAAUCUCGUGCUAGACAAACUUUUAACUUUUCAUUUCCUUCUAUGAUAUCUGACUCACUUUUAGUGUUUCUUCAUCCAGUGCAUGUUAGGUUGCUAUAUGUUGGAAAUGACACAUGGUUGCUCUUGUGCUGAAUGCACUUGAUUACAAGAUAAACAGGGGGCUCCUAUGCAAAGAGCCACGUAUCGGCAUAGCCCCCCUUGAGACAUGGCAUUCAGUUCAGCCUAUAUAUACUAUGACCCACUCCAUCUCGAGGCAAUUUAGCAUGUUGCUUGUCAUAAGGUUCUGUCUUAAAUAGGUAACAAAAAUAGGAAUAGUAAUUUCCAUGUUACAUAAGUUGAAUCAUGUAGAUGUUGUUGUAUUUUGCAUAUUGUGUACAUUGGACUAGAAGUUUUAUAAUCGUAUACAGUGUUGCUGAAUGUAAUUGAGCAAUUGUUUCUUGGAGAUCUCACUUCAGUUCUUCAACUAUAUUAUCAAUACCAGCUAUAUAUUUGUACCCUCAGGAAUAUAUUUUGGCAUAUAUAUUAAAUAAUGUGUGGCAGGAUGAUGAGAACAGAUAACUAUUUCACUGUAUCACAAUGCUACAAACACUAUAUGUUUCUAUCUUAAUUGUUUUGUGGACUUUCUGUUUAUCCUAGUGAUGCUUAUUUUUAUGCUAGAGCUAAGACUGAGGAAAAAUUAUCGGAUGCUAUUAUUCUCAUCUAGUCUUUCUUUAUUCUAUUAAAGUUAAAAUAAUUGACUAUUAUUCUUAUUUAUCUGUAAUCAUUAUUCUACAAUCAUCAGAUUUGCAUCCUUUUUUUAUCUUGUGGUUUCUUGAGACGUGCUUAUGUUUCUCUGUUGUUCUGUACAAGAGGAAGUAAGAUGGCAGUUAUAGAGGGACCAAUUAUUUGCCGUCCUGCUGUCCAACAUGCUAAGCAAGCAAGAGUUUCUGCUCCUAUAAUUAAUACUUCAUUAAUAAAGACUAGUCAUCUUAGAAGUGGAUUCUGGGGGUCUAAAGCUAGAUGCAGAAGUAUAACAAGAGUUGGAACUCUUUCUGUUCAACCUUGUGAAAGGAAAUGCUGGCCUGUUCGUUGUAGUUUCAGUUCAUCUUCUGAUGGUAAUGGCAGCAUGGCUGGGAACUUCAGUGAAAAUGAUGAAGAAUAUGUAAAUUCCAGUGUGAUUGAAGCAGGUAUUCUGUUUGAAUCAUCUCUUUUCUUUGUUUUUCUUGAGAGGAAGGGGGCAUUGUUUUAAUAUGCUUUAUUUUCAGGCCCUUCGAUUUUCCCUUCUCGUUUCUUUGUGUUUAAGGAUGCUGGAUGUGGACUUGAACUUCCAAUUUUAAAUUUUGUCUGCUAGGUAGAAGUUUCUUCUCUAGUCACUUAGAAAUUCGGCAGUAGGAGGGUAAGAGUCUUCUCUGAUAUGGACUGCAGGACAUUUUUUCUGGUGUUGCUUUUGGAUCCUCCUCCUGUUAAGAACAGAAAUUGGCUUGCAGUCUAAAGCAUUCCUAGGUUGCCAUCGGUGAGAUGGAACAAGCAAAAGUUGUUGCAGAACCAACACAUUGAGUUGAAAGUUCACAUUUUCGAUUGAUCAACAUGCUCCACAGUGGAACUGUCAUAGUGGCAGUGUUUUUUCUUGCAAUUGUGAUCGGUUCUUUCCUAGCUUGAUAUGUGGAAGAAAACCAUGCUAUAGACCAUCUUUCUCAUCAGACCAUCAGUUGGUCACAUAGUGGUUCUGAGUUAAUCUGCAGGACCAUCCCUUUGGCAGUUUUCUUCCCAUAUUUUGUGGAAAUUAGAUUGGAAUUUGAAAUUACAACUUCAUUGUUUCUAAUAUUUGCCAUUUGUCAACUGUCUGAGUUGUAAGGCCAAGACGGUCUCCCAGUAGGUCCAGCAUCACCUAGUUUACAUAAUUGGUCGCAGUCAAAGUGUCAUAAUGCAUAUAAAAGUCUGGCAUGUACAGUUGCUAAGCACUUAUAGUCUCAAAAUGUAAUCCAUAGAGUGCAACACCUUUUUCUGCUUCUGGCGAUAUUUACAAGUAGUUGAGACAUUGAGCUGCUUCUGUUGCUUAUGGAUUUCAAGUCCUAGCUGCAGUAAUUUGUCUUUCGUGCAGUUGAGGUCAGAAGUGGAUCAGAUGGUUUCAUGAUAAAGAUGCGUGAUGGUACACAUUUGAGAUGUGUUCACAAUAAUCCUCAAGGAGGAAGCCUGCCGGACUAUGCUCCUCAUCCAGCCAUCGUACUAAAGAUGGAAGAUGGAAGUGAUCUUCUUCUUCCUAUUAUUGUCUGUAUGUAUACUUUUGCCUUGGGUUAGGAUAUUUUGUUGAGAGCAAAUCUUUUAUUCCAACAAAUGAUCUUCAAUUCUCCUUUUCCUUUACAGUGGAGAUGCCAAGUGUGUUGUUAAUGGCUGCAGUUCGGAAUGUUCAUAUUGUAAGGCUCCUUUAUUCUCAUAUGUGAAGUAUCAUGCUAAGUUUUUUUUAUUUGGAUGAUUACUAAUAUUUUAUGCGUCUCUCAGGCUAGGCCAACUAUAUAUCAAGUAGUGAAAGAGAUGAUUGAAAAGAUGGGAUAUGAGGUAAGUUAAAUAGAUCAAUCCUGUAUACAGAAUGCCCUAUUUUGUUCUGUUGCAUGCCCCCAUUUAGGUUGAAUACCUUUAUUUCUCUGUGUUAGAUUUAUGUAAGUUCAUCAGUCAAUUGUCCUGAUGCUCACUGGGUUUGUUAGUAACACUGACUAUGACAUGUGUGAGUGGCCUACUGAGUGAUUAAGAUGGCAGUGAUGGAAUGUUAACUCUUUGCUAUUGAAAUUUGAUCUUUUUUUCUUUUUUGCUUUUUGUUUUAGAACCACUUACAGAUAUCAAACAAGUAUCUUAUAUUUCAGGUACAACUUGUUCGAGUCACCAAAAGAGUGAACGAGGCCUACUUUGCUCAGUUGUUCCUUGCAAAGGCAAAUCCUGAUCUUUUCAAAUUGCCUUUUGUUAAUGUUAGCCGUAUCCUCGUGAAUGUAAAUCCUGAACUACAUCAUGUCCUCAUGCAGGUGGGGAAUGAAAAAGAGAGCAUCAGCUUUGAUCUUCGACCUUCAGAUGCCAUUAACAUGGCUGUGCGGUGCAAGGUACGCUCGGUUAGCUGAAUUAACACUACCUUUCGGCAUAUGUAGUUCCAGUGUCUAGCACUAACAUGAUUAUUUAGAAACCAUUUUGAUUAGUAAUUAUAUAUCUGCUGCCAUGCUAAAUGUGACUUGGUAGGUGGUUUUCAAUGGUUUUUUUGCAAUCACCUUAAUGGGACAGACAUUAAUUUUAACAGAAGCAACACUUUAUUAUUGGAAUCACUGCAGUGGUUUCUCCUAGAAAUUAGAUCACUUCAUGUUACAGUCUUGGUUUCAUUUAAUUUUACUUAAUAUUUUUCCGGAAUGAAGCUUUACAUAAUGAUUGUUUCUUCCAACCAUCCACCGUGCCCCCCCCCAACCCCCACCCCCAAACACAAAAAAAAAAAAAAAAUUCUCUUUGUGAUCUUCAGAGCAAGUUUUAGGAGAAAAAGCUAGACUGCACUUAAUGCUUGUAUAAACAAAUAUGUUAUUACAGUUACAACUUACAAGCUUAACUAAAAUAUAAUUGGAAUGACAUUAUUUUAGCACAUCCACCUUCACUAUGAGGGCCUCACAAUUUUUUUCUUCUUUCUUAUUGUAGUUUUGCUUCUUUAAUAUUGAAUGUCAUCUUUUAUUCAUUUAUGCAUGGGCCUCCCAGUACUGUUUGCGAAAUUAUAAGCCUAAAGUUGCAGUUUUCUUAUUGUAGUUAAGCUUUUCUAACAGUAUAGGUCAUUGUAGAAUCACCUUUUUCAUAAUACUUGCUCUUGCUAUUUUCUCAAUAAUUCUUCAGAUGGUUCGGCAAGUUUUCUUUUUCCAAUAUUCAUGCAUGGACUAUCAUUUAAGUUAUCCUUGUGACAUAAUACUAUCUUUAUUAAACCAUAUCAGUUUGCUGUGCAACUAUUAUAUCAGCAUCUAAUAUCAGUGUGAAAGAAGUUGGGGAUUGAAGUUAUAGAAAAUAAUAUGAGGAGCUUAUUUUAGUUGGAAACUCUAGUGUAGAUGAUGAAAAUAUAGGAUAUGGCUUCAGGACAUGUAAUAAACAAUAAUGUUAAAAGAUAUUUUUGCAUGUGUUGGAGCUCCCUUUGAUAAUUUGUUCUUUUAUUGUCAUAGGUAGUCUAUGGUCAUACUUUGGGAGAAAGCACAUGGAAUUCAAAAGAAAAUUGAAAAUUUUUACUUAGUUCUUUUGGGCCUAUUGUAUUCAUGCUUACUAAUAAUGUUAAUACACUUCUUUUUGUUCACAAAUAUCUUGACAAAGCAGAGUAAGAACUUUAUUGUUUUCAGAGCUAUUUUUAUCUGUUUUCAUUCCUUGUGAAAUUUAAAGACACUCUUGAUUGAUUCCAACUUGGCAUUUCAUCAAGCAUUUUACUUUCAGACCUUCAAAAUCGCAACUUGUUUUGUGGUCCUAAAUUGCUAAGAGUUGCUAGAUGUUAAACAAGGCUAUUACAAAUGUGGGCUAAGUACUACCUAGAGGUGUUUUAUUGGCUGGUAAUUUUGCUGGUCUUAUGGUCUUGAUUGAACAUGUCUUUACUUCCUGCACCUUAUAAAAGGAUGAUCCACAUAAAAGUAAAAGAAUGAGAUGCAAGUGUAAUUAGCAGUGCAGUCUAGUGCAAGAAGUACUUGUGAAGGUUGCUGUAAUGAUAGUUAGGAAGUUUUUGAUUUAACACUGUGAGGGUUUUAUAUGGAGGACAGCUGUGAUUUCUUUUUUAGCUAUCUGCAGGAGCUAUUUUUCUUGAUAAUAAUGAACCAAGCACUACUUUAAGUUGGCAGAACCUCCUUAUUGAACUGAUUUUAGAAGUUCUUGUCCACUGGAUUUAUGGAAGGGAUGAAAGAGGCCUCUGAAACUCUUAAAAAUGGUUGUUUUAAGGAAAAGAUGGCUUGGAAUGUUAUCAAAAGCAUGUGUGCGAGGGACCAUUCUGGUGGUUUGACAUCCAUAAGCACAGUUGUUAUUCCUUUUUAUUGUUACUUGUAGGGAUUAUUGGGAGGUUGCUUCUGCUUUAAUUCAGGAAACUUCAAACGUCAUAGACUCUUUCUUCUUCUAUAUUUAUUUCAAUCCCUUUUCUGAUUUCCUUUUUGAACGAGAUUCAAGAACUGUAUUGGUUGGAAAAUGCUCUUAGAAAAAGUCAGAUAAUAUUUCAAAAUCCAGAUCUCUUCCUAAAACAGAUUGUGCUAUAUCUUUGAAAGCAGCAGAUCUUUGCAAGACAUGAUCAAAUUUCACCACAGAUUUUAGUACCGCUCUUUUGUUUUAAAUCAGGUCAAAGUUGACAUCUGUUUGUAGCUCUGAUAGGUGUUGACCACUACUUGUUUUUGCCUCUGUUUUGUGUUUUUGAUCCAAAAGGUGCCUAUACAAGUCAAUAGACAUCUUGCAUACAGUGAUGGGAUGCGAGUGAUGGAACCGCCUAAGUUGGCAGUGCAGGCUUCUCAGUCGGAUGGAAUGUUAUUCACAGAACUGGACAGGUAACCUUACGAAUGUUUUCCAUGCAUUUUGUUUACUAUUUUUUUGCUGAAACAGGUGCUUCAAAGUUGAAAUGAAUAAACGUUCAAGAGAUUUUCAUCUUUUUCGUCUCGUGUUAGUUGAGAUGAAUUGUCCCAAUUUAUUCUGUUCAAGGAAAGAAUUGUUUGGAUGAAGUGCAAGUGUCGAUCAACAUCAAGUUUAGUAAAGACUAAAGACUACAUGUUUUCUGAGUUGUUUAACAUUUAUCAACUGAAAAACCACAAUGGAGUUUUACAUCCACCCCCCACCCCCACCCCCUCUCCCUUCUCUAUCUCUAUCUAGCUAUCUACUUAUCAGUUUUGAGAUAUUUUAUGGAGAAUUGGGUGUCGUCAUCUGUUUGAGGUUUACUUGAUAUCAUCUGCUGUCGUAACAGUGAUUUCUUGUGCCUUACAUGGACCUUAUUAUUUAUAAAAGACUAAAGUACUUCAUUUUUUAGUUGGUCAGAAAUGUGGUGUAAAUUUGUAGUGCUUUAAUGUUACUCUGACUGAAGUAAUUUUAACAGGCCUGAUGGUCACCCUUGCUUGGAAACCAAGGAGUUCGGUUUGGUCCGUAACAUGCUGAUUGCUGCCGUUGAGGAAAGAUACAAAGACGCUGGUAAGAUAUCAUGCUCGUACCUGCUGCUUGCAUUUGUUUUGUCUCUGAAGACACCAAAUCUCUCUCUCUCUCUCUCUCUCUCUCUCUCUCUCUCUCUGUGUGUGUGUGUAUUUUAAAGCAUAAACAGGAUAGUUUCUGUAAGUUUUUGGAUCAUGCUGGCGGUGGGUGCCUUUUCUUUUCUAAGGAGAUUGUUCCCCAAAAGCUAAACUAAUCAAUGGACUUCUUUGGAAAUAUGAAUCCAAUUGAUUUGCACUUUGGCAACGUUUUGUGGCAAUUUGAUGCGAUUACAGGUCUUGUUAUUUUGUUUCAGCUCGAUGGAGGGACAAGCUUUUUCAGCUGCGGUCCAAGAGAAAGAACCGGACGUGACAGGUUUCCGAUCCAUUCCCUGCGAACCUUAUCUGUUUUAUGGUACUGUCUGAAACUAGAAAUCUCGAGACUUCUCACCGCAGACUGCUUUCUUUGCUGCAGUGUCCCCGGCUGCACACGAAGCCUGCGUUUGGAAGCAAGCAAGUGCAAACCUCACAUCCAUGGUAUAUCAUGCAUCUAGUACUUAGCCGCCACGCUUGUGUAUGCAUGUAUAGUUGCUUAUGCCAUGGUGGCAUAUAAGAUGGCAUGUGGCAAUAUGUAAAUAUUGAACUAUAGAACAUAUCCUCAGAUUAUAGACUCGUUUAUCUACUCGGUUUUUUAAUUUGCUCUUGCUUGUUUUCUUUUUUUGAUGGUUGGAGGCUAGGAAAGCAACCAUCUGUUCUUUAUCGAUAAGAGUAAUAUAUACAGCGAUGGUUACCAAGGGUCUAUAAAAGUAGUUACGUUAUACCUUGAAGAUCAAAGAAAACAAUUGAAAAUCAAUCCCUCCUGGAAGGCUUUUCAUCUAUUGAAACAUUUGGACAAUUUUGUAAGUCUAUUCCGGAUCUUUGAGAAUUUUGUGGUCAUUUUGAUUGAAAUUGCAGAGGAUGGAUAUAAAAGAGGAAAAAAAAUGUGAAGUUUUUAUAGCAACUGCAACAAUGGAGGCACAUUUGAGAUUGCCUCUCUCCAAUGAGUUACGGCACCAACUAGCAUUAAUACACUCUUCUGGGAUAUUUUGGAAAAAAAUUUUCUUUCUAUAUUUUAGAUAUAGAUUUUCAAAUGAGUUGUGUGACUGUAUGACCCUAAGCAAAUGAUAUAUGGAGUUUCAGAUGCGUAGCUUUUGCUUGUUUUCAAGUGCUAGGGUUCAAGUGCUCAGGAUGCAUUAUUUCGAGCCCGUAUGUUUUGGGGACUUAUGCGGUCAGUCCAAAUUUAGUACGCUAUUGUAUAAAUGUUCAAAAUCUAUGAUAUAUAUAUUGUUUUUUUACUGACUCGAACCAUUCAAUUUUAUACAGGGGUGAAGGGCCUUUCUGCAUCAUGUGUAUUAUAAUCGUGUCCUUGUUUAAUGUUGCGAAUGGGUCUCAUCAAUCUCUGACGUGAGAUGGUUCUAUCGGUGAGACCUGGCCUAACCCGUUUCGGGAAAUUCCUGGAGUCUGGACCCUGGUUCAGGUUUGGGUUUUGUAAUUUCCAACCUGACUUGGCCUGUAGGUUCUACUUUGGGUGCCAAACAAUUCGAACCAGGAUUUGUGUUGGGCCUGGGUCAUGCAGUCUGGCGGAAACAAUUCUAGGCUGUAUUUGGGUUUGGUCUUUAAUGCCUAUCAAGUUAAUAAGAAUUUUCAGGGGUCCGGUCAUAUCGGAUUUGUUAAUUUGUUGCUUGUAGGUUGGGUCAGGCUCGGGUCAGACUUGUUUGCGUCCAACCCCGUGCAUGUGUAUACGGAUUUCGAUUUUGGAAUGCCGUAAAUGAAUCCAGAGAUCCUUGUUCCUCUACAUUGGUCAAUUAGUUUUGCGCACAACGCUGAUAUUUAAAUAACAACUUUGCUAGGCGGUUAUUCCUAACUAAUGCAGCGUGUCAAAAGUCUCGGUUUGCAAUUUCCAUCCGUACUCGGCGGAGUUUGGGUUUUGUAAGCGGGAAAUUCUUUGAACACCGUGGGUGGCGCAGAAUGUACACACUGUCCGUGGUGAUUGACCUCACAUAUAAAGCUGGAGCAUGAUGUGUGAAAAAAAAAAUUUUUUUCAGCCCCGUGCGAGAGUCAAUCAUCAUGAACGGUGCGCGUGGUUCUGCAUCACUCGUGAUGCAUAAAAGAUUUCUCUUUGUAAGUAUCAAACCCACAUUGGCCUAUCAGUUUGGAUAUUUCUAAGCUGACUUGCCCUCAAGUUACUGACACAGGUUACAGGACAAGCUCAUGCCAAUCCCCACCUAAUUUAUUGAACAAAAAUCACAUGGGGCGGGCAUCAUAGAAGAAAAUACAGAGCGGAUUAUAUUAAAGAGAAAAAAAAUAAUAUAUAUUAAAUAAAUUAAUAAUCAAGCAAGUCAAUAUAUAUAUCUUUGUAAAUUAAUAUACAGUUUGUAAAAUAUAAAAUUUAUUCCAUGACUAGAUGGUAUACAUUUAGCAAAUUAGUUAUCUAGUAACUUAAUACAUAUAUUCAAAUAAAUUAAUAUAUAAUUUUUGAUACAUCAAGUUUAUCGAUACAUAUUAUAUGGCCCGAUGAUAUAUAUUUAUCGAUUUCCUAGUAGUGACCUAAUUAUACUUCUGGAUAAAAUGUAUGUUUUGAAAACUGUAUAUCGAUUCACCUAGAUAUAUGUGCUGGAUCAUUAUUGGAUGUCUAUCAAAUAAGCUUGCAGCAUGUAUUAGGAAGUUAACAACUAUGUAUUAUAUGGUCAUAUAUUAUAUAUUGAUAAAUAUGAUAUUUUACAAACUAUAUAUCAAUUUAUUUGAAUGUAUUUAUUGGAUUACUUUCUUAAUUAUAUAUUAUCUGACAGUGUAUUGCAUAUUAAUAAAUAUUAUAUUUUAAAAAUUAUAUAUCAAUUUAUCUAGAUAUACUGACUGACUAAAUGACUAGUUUGUUUGGUAGGUGUUAUCUAGUUGUGUAGUAUGUGUCAGUAAAAUAUAUAAUUUGAAAAUAAAGAAGAAAAGAAUGUCAUGUAUGAUUUUUUAUUUUUUUUUUAAAUUAUGAGACUGAUGCAUCUAUUAAUAAAAAUAUCUGGUUUUUAGAUUUUUGCUUUAAGAUAUGCAACAAAAGCAACGUGGCAAGAAAAUCUGCUUCAUAUUUCGUCCUAUCUUGUUCACUUCAUAUGAUUUUUGUUCAGCCUGUCUAUAUAAAUGUCAGUAAACCGAGUGUCAGCAUGUUAGGUUAGGUUAUUAAAUGUUUGAUAAAAAAUUCAUGUUAGGCACAGUUAUUCAAUAAAAAAGACAACGAUCUGUCUUUUUCUACAAAUUUCUUAAUUUUUCUGACGACUCUCGUACUCGUCAUAUUUGAUCGCUUGCCAUGUUUUUGUCAUUCCAACCUAUUUAGGAGGACAAACGUGCCAUACAAUGUUUUGCACCUGUCCCCCCUGGAGAUUGCAUGGAAGAUGGCAGGUCAAAAAAAAAACAAGUUGCUCGGCAUGUGAUUGUUCGGACUGAUAUAUAUUAUUUUCUUAACCCCAACAAGCGCAAGGCAACCUAUAGACAAGUCAACGAUCGAUUUCAAUAGAUUUGCUUUCCAGAUUUUCUGUAAUAGUAUGAUUCCCCGUUUUUUCUUGUGUGUCCCAAAAAAAAAAAAAGGAAAAAAGAAAAGAAAAGAAAAGAAAAGAGGUGUGGUUCCACUUUUGUGACUAUGCUGAGACUAUAGAAAGUGUUUCGGGAAUGGACAUGAGUCAUGCACUAAGGAGGGGUGCCAAAUAAGGGCAUAAUUCCUCUUGCCAUUAUUAUUUUUAUAUUAUUUCAUUUCAUAAUUGCUAAAGUAGCUAGUCCAAUAACUUUUUUUUUUUUUGGUUAAAGAAAUCAAGUUGAACAACAUAAAAAAAAUAAAAAGAAUCAAGCCGAAGGCUGGAAGUGGGCGAAUCUAUUUUUGUUAUAAGAAAUAAUACUCAAAAUUGUUCAUCCCAUUAUAACAAGAUAACAAUGUUAUUGAAACGACUAAUUAGAAACUUGUUUUCAAUACGACUCUUAUAGAGUAACUUAACUGAGCUUUGGGGUGAGAUUAGCGUUCAGGCAAAUGUUUAUGAAUGUGGGCUUGCGGGUGUUUGGGCAACAUGGGCUAGACUGAUAAGGAUUUAAUUGUCCAUUCAUAGCUUUAAUUUGUUCGUCCAUUAAACUGAUCAGAUCUCUGUACUAACUAAAUAGCUUCAUGUUGGUUGAUGAUCCAUGAAGAUGAAGAUGUCAAGUACUGUUAUCCAGUCCUCCACACACCAAAAGCAUAUUAGAGUAUCCGACAAAGUUGGGUAUAAGAUGGAUUUAAGAAACGAUGGAUGAGGAAAAGAAAAGAUAGAAAUAAUUUUUUUCACUAUUUGAUAUAGAACCAAUGAAAAAAAAAAAGCACAUCAUGUUUGUAUGGCAUUUUUAUAGAAUUUCUAUUUUAUAAAAGGUUUUAUUAUUUUAAUUUAUAACACUUAUUUAUAUUUAAAAAGUAGAGUAAUAUAAAAACUUACAAUCUUUAUAAUUUAUAGUUAUAUAAAAAUAUAUAGAUAUUUAAUUUAAUUUAACUUAAUAGAUAAUUUAAUAAAUUGAUUAUAUAUGAAUAAAUUUAUUUAUAUAUUAAUUAUAAAAUAACUUAUUAAUUUCUAGUUUAAUUUAAAUAUUUAUUUAAUUUUAUGCAAAUAGUUAACUAAAAUAUAGUGAAUAUAAUUAAAAAAGAUAAUUCUAAUUAUUUACUUAUAAUUAUAAAAAUUAUUUGUUAAAAUUAAAAUAAUUAUUAAUAAAACUUAAUAGUAUAAGAUAAAUAGUACAGAUAAAAUAAAAAAUAUAUAAAUAAAAAGAAUGAAAAAAUGAAUAAGUAUUAGGAUUUUGUUAAAGACUUAACAAGGAAUAAUUUUGGCAACAAAGAAACCUACCCUCGCAUGCUCCAUCCAUCAUUUUUUGUGCAAAUUAAUGGACUUGGGUGGAUAGUAAUCUUUCCUUUAUAUUUAUCCUUCCUAAGAUUUUUUUGAAUCACAAGGUGAAUGAGGGUCAUCCAUCCUUCCUCUCGUGACUCCAAUCAAACAUAGAGUAAAUGAACAGUUUUCAAAUAUAAUUAAGCUCUCACAAUCUAAAUUAUUUAUCUUUUUUUUUUUGUAUAUAAAAAAAAGGUAGAUAAUAAUUUAGAUUGUAAGAGCUUAGCUGCUACCAUCACAUUUGGACAAUUCAGAACAAGAAGAUCUUCGAUUGUGUCUAGGAUAGUCUCUUUAGGAUUGUGAUAAGAGCCAUAAUUGAUGCUGUUGAUUUUAUAAGGGCCAAGAGAUCAAAGGGGUCUUUGACAGCUGGAAAAAUUUAGAGUUUCACCUCUGCAGCUUUUAUGCCUCAAGUAAUAUACUUCUUGUGGGAACCUUCAUCUCCGUAGCUUCUUUAAAAUCAACUUUUAUAGUAAUUUGAAGGAUAGAGAGUAGUUGGUUAGAGCUGAUUUUAUCAUCCAUAUACGGAAUCUUUUAUUGUUGCAGUAGUGGCUCUUCCCUUUUUUAUAUGUCGAUACCUUAGGCCGAGUUGAGGGCCAUGUGGGAGGAUGUAUGGAUUUGUAUUUUGUACAUAAAUAGUAUAUUUUUGGAAGAGAACUCUGGGAUCAUGACCUCUUAGUUGUCCACAUUGUUUGAUGGCUACCAUCUCUUAUUGGCUGAUACUAGGAGGUUUAUCGUGGUUUGUGCUUGCUGUCUAAUUAAACACAUUCAUAAAUAGAAAUAAAAUGGUUGAUUUGAUGGUUUUUUAUAUUACUAUCACACCGAGACUGAUAUCUAAAUAUUUUCGGAUAUUAUUUCUUGCCCGCCGCAUGGCCUUAUUUUAUCGGAUAUUUUUUAUUAUAUUUAUAUUUGUGUUUCCUAAUGCAGCCGGUAAAAAAAAACCUACUUGACUAUCAUAAACGAAAACAGUAUCUUUAUUUUUAUCAUAUUUUGAGACCAAAAGUUUAUUAGCUCAACGGUUAUCACAGCACUAUCUUUUAUCUCUACCACCCAUCCAUAAAAAAGUUCAAUGUAAGGCUUGAAAUUGCCAGUUUCUUGAUGAACCAUCCUUUCUAUUAAUUGGCAUAUACCAUUACGCCAAAGAAAAGCGAUAGAAAAAUUAAUUUAAUACGUAAGUGCAUACGUAAAUAAAUAAAUAAAUGAAUAAAAUAAAAACAAGAAAUGCCAACCGAUGGCGUGGGAAUGGCGGCUACGCGGGAAGGAGAUGCGAGAUUCCACGUGGCACGAUGAUAUUGGUGGGUCCCACUAACAAAUCGUCCCGUCCACUCCCUCAGCGCGCCGCCCAACCGUCUCCCUCAGCUUUCUUUCCUCGCUCGCCCCUGCAACGCCAACGGAGCCCCUCCUCUAUCCGCCGUCCGAAGCCACCCGGACUCUCCGCACGGACCGUCCGAUCACACCCGGAUCACUUCCCGCCCCAUCGACUCCCUCCCCUCCUUUACAGCGGCCUUUCGAGUCUUUGGUAGGGCCUUGCGAUGCCUCUUACCUUCCUAGGGUUCUUUUUGGGUUUUCUUGAUUUACUCUAGGCGUUUCCAAGGGGAAUUCAGCUUCUUUUUUCUUCCCCCAGGGGUUCUUGACCUCGUAUAAAUGAUUUAAUGAUAGAUUGAAGGCUGAAGUCCGGGAUUUUCGCUAUCAAAUAGCUCUCGGAUAUGUCUGGACCGCUCGACCGAUUUGCCAGGCCCUGUGAGUUGUUCCUCCAUUUCUUAUUUUCCACAAACUCUGGAGAAUCUGUAAUUCCUUGAAUUGACGAGAAAGUCUGUUUUUUUAAAAAAAUCCCCGUGUAAUUGUGUGUCAGAUUUUAGCAUGAAAUUUUAAUUAAGCAAUUAGUAUAAGAAUUCAUCGUGCGAAUAAUGUUUCUGUCGAGGGUUUCGGAAUCCUUUGCUAAUUCAAAUUGGCCUAGUAUUUUUGUGCAAUUUCAAGUGUUUGAGUUUUCCUUCGUUUUCUUAAUUGCGUGUCAGAUAUUAGUAAGAAAUUUUUAUUAUGUAAUUAGUAUAAAAAUCCAUCUUGAGAUUAUAUUUCUGUCAGGGUUUCGGAAUCCUUUGCUAAUUGAAAUUGGCCUAGUAUUUUUGUGCAAUUUCAAGUGUUUGACUUUUCUUUCUUUUCCUUUUUUUUUUCAUGGUACAUUUGAUAAAUUUUGCUAGUUUAUAUUUGUUAAGUAUAUCAAAGUUCGUAAUUUGGUUUUCACGCUUGGUGACGAAAUAAAAAGGAAAAAAAUCUGGUCUGCGUUGAUAAACAUGAUGCAGCAGAUAUAUGGUUUAGUUAUAGGGCUUCAUCUCUUUUAUGUUCAAUAUGAUUCAAAUCCCACAAGUACCAUAUUACCUUGAAGUGGCAUGUGCCUUAAACUCAUAAAGAUUCAGUUGGAGGCUACCAUCAUGGAUUGAUGUCUACUACCUAGAAUCCAUCAAGGUUUAUAUAUUGUUCUUGGAAAACCAAGAAGUGAGCUAUCGUUUGUGGAGAGAUUUUACACCCUUAAUCAAAGUUACCCGCUUUCUUAAGUUUCUCUCGAAGCAAUCAUUAGGAGUCUGCAUCAUUCAAACGGUGUUUGAUGGUUUUAUAGGGAGUAACUGCACUAGCAAAACAUGAGUAGCAAGAAGUGAAGCUCAUUGGAAGGUUAGCCUCUAUGGAUUGUAUAUAUGCUUCCUGAAUGAUUUUUCUGUCAAUAUAUAUCUGAUUAGAUUGAAUAUGACAUUAAUAUAAUUCCCAAAGAAAAGUCCAAUAGUAUUUUUACAUUUUUCCAGGCCAACACUUUGUUAUUCUCCCUUUAUUAGAAAUGAUUUUUGUCAUAAAAUAACCAAGAGACUGGGUAAUAAGCUCUCAGACCAACCUGCUCUCAUUCCACCAACUAUAUGAGAUUCUUUCUAGUACAAGAAAAACUUAGAACAUAGUACUGUGAUAAUGUAUUGGGGGUCCUGAACUAACUAUACCUCACAUGAGGUUUCACUGCAUUCAUGUAUGAGAUAUCUGCUUUGUGCAUUCUGUAAAUGAUUAUCCACCUUGAGAUGCAGUUUACAUGCAUGCAGAUAUAUGAAAUAUGUAUUCGGAAUUUAGUAAGUGUAAAUAGUGAUUUUAUUUUCUUUUUUGCAAACCAAACCCUGAUCAUAAAAUCGCACUUAUGACUUCAAAUUUACCUCUAUAUUGAUCCUUUGAUUGAUAGCAUACAAUUAUUGAUCAUAUUCUUGUUUACCAUCCUAGUUAUUUGGCAUCUUCUGUGCUCAGUUUCAUUUGGUGUAGCCAAUAGUUGCUGUAACUGCAUAAUAGUGGGUCGACCUAUCUUUAUCUUAAGGUCUGGGUGCAUUUUGUCAAGCUCUGUAUUGCUUACAUCUGAUUUCUAUCCUUGGAAAAAUUAAGACUUCUGAAUUAUUCACUACUCUUGUGUUAAAAUUCAUACUAUAUGUUUGUCUGGACUUUGGGAAAAUAAUCUAACAUCUCUACUUAAAGAAUUCUGCAUGUAUAAAUUAUGUUUUUCUUCAGUAUUUUUUUUAAAAACUAUGGUGCUAAAUUUUGUUUCUCUCAGGAAGUUCUUUGUCCAAAUGUUAUUUUGAACUUUUCCUCUUAGUUAGUGAACCAUGACUGACUGUGCACAGUGUUGCAGGUUUUGAGGGGAUGUCUAAUCAUGAUGAAAGAAAAGAGCGUAAAUCAGAUUUUGAGAUUUCAGAAGAUGAAAGGAGGACGAGGAUUGGAUCUUUGAAGAAAAAGGCUAUAAAUGCAUCAACUAAAUUCAGGCGUUCUUUGAGGAAAAAGAGCAGAAGGAAGAGCGAGAAUCGAGUUCUUUCGAUUAAGGAUGUCAGGGAUAUUGGAGAGCUACAAGCUGUUGAUGCAUUUCAUCAGUCAUUAAUCAUGGAUGAGCUGCUACCUGCAAAACUUGAUGAUUACCAUAUGAUGCUGAGGUGACUUAUAAUCUUUCCUUUGUCAACUUGAGAGUCCUUUUUCGUGGCUUGUAGGCUAUCCUAGGGUAGUUCUUGAACAACAGUCUCAGUUUUAUUUUUUUCCCUUCAACUGGUCAAGGGACAAUGCUAAUCCUUGUUAGAGCCCUUGUGUCACAUUCCUUGCAUGUUGAAAUGUGUGGUGGUCUCUCCCACCAUUUUGCUAAACAUUCUUUGCAUGUUGAAGAGAAAUGGGAGAGUCGUUACUUAUCGAAAUAGUAUAUUUCAUGAAUUUAGGGUUAUUUAGUCACUUAAACAUAGUGAGGUUCUAAUUUCAAAUAUCUUGAGUUGACUUAGGAGAUGAGUUGCCACCAAUUGAAAACAAGCAUUUCCCUUGCAAUCUAUAGGUUAAUUGAUGUAGGUUCACAAUCUACCACCUAAAUGUUUUUAUCAAUGUAUAAACCGCCAGUAUGCACUAUUACGAUAAGAUAGGUACCGUGCCGACUGUGAGCAGCAUGUUGCAGUGAUACAUGCGGCCAUUCUAUGCAUAUUGGUCUGUGGUUUUUGCCAAUUCAAUGCCAACUAACAUGGUCUGAAAGCCCCAUAAAAGUUCCCCUUGGGGAUAUUUUAGUUAUUUGUGCUAGUUUUAUCCUCUUUUACAGGGGCAACAUUCCCCUCCCGUGGAUUGAAGGCAGAAUCAUUGGAUAAGGCAUGCCAAUGAUACAAAUUCAUCACUUUAUGGUAUAUCGAAGUGUGGAAGUUAACUUUUCUAUCCUUAGGAAGAAAAAUGAGUUCAUCUUAUUUCAGAUUCAUUCAUUAAUUCACACUUGUUCAUUUAGUCCCUUAGCAAGAAAAGUGCCAACUUGCUUUCUGUUUUUAUGUGAAUCUUGAAUGUAUUAUCCAAGUCUCCUAGUUCAUGCAUAUAUCAAUAUUUUAGCAUAAAUUUUACUUUUGUUUACAUGUGUGCUGAUAAGUGAUCAUAAAUGUUCCUCGGUUAAUUUGUUAUCAACACAAGAGGCUGCAUGCAUUUGCAAGAUGCAUAUUAAUAAUUCAUAUAAUGAUUGUAUGAACUAAGAUUCAUGAAUUAAUGAUACACAUGAAAUUAAUAAUAGCGUGAUUAUCCGCAUUAAAGGUUGAAAGAUAAUUGCUUCUAUUUAAUUGUCCUAGUCAUUUAAUAUGAACGUAUUUAUUAGAACAUUUUUUUGAUUUCUCAAUGGUUUUCUAAGGCCCAGUCAAUGGUUUUGUAUAAAAUUCUAUCUGAUGUACAAUGUUUGUAGUUCACUAUAGAGUAACUUCACAUGAUUAGGGAAAAAAGGAAAAGCACAUGCUGGAUUACUUUUGUUCCUUUAAAUUACCUUAUAGUUUGCUGUGUACUCGUCAUGAAACUAUUUUCUAGUAUAAUUUCUAUUUUCAAAUGCAGUCUGCUUUUUCUUGUUGUGUUGAGUAGAUUUCUUAUUGUUUACUUAUUGUACUGUUUUUUCAAAGCUCAACAUUGUUGGCCUUCUUGUGAUUACUAUACUAAUAUCUUGUUUACUUAGAUUUCUGAAAGCACGCAAAUUUGAUGUUGAGAAAGCGAAGCAAAUGUGGUCAGAAAUGCUUCAGUGGAGGAAGGAGUUUGGUGUUGACACUAUUUUAGAGGUAAUGAACAAGCUCAAUUCCUGGAGGACCCAUUGGAUGCUUAUAAUGAAUUUGACUGUUAACGGGAGCAGUUAAACAAGCAGAAGAUGGAAAACCCUCUAUUUUUAAUUUUAAGUUUUUAUUUUUAUUUUUUAAAAUAGAACUCAGAGAUCUGCAAAAUCAUAAGCUUUAUGUUCUAGCAUUAGAUAAAUUUCAGUUUCAGCUAGAUGUCGCACAUCUGCUAAGCUGUCAAUAGUGCUGUGACAUAGAAAGUCAAUCCUGAAUAAACUUUAUGGUGACUAUUACUUUUUUUUUUUUGUUUACUAUGAGAUGGAAAAAUGAUGUAACCUUAAUUUAUCUGUGUUUCUUGUGUACUUAUUUAGCAUAUAUCUUUUUCCUUUCUUCCAUGGUGCUUAACCUUUAAGAGAAAAAUGCGUGCUUGUGUUCUUGGUACCACCUCAUCAUCUAGAAUGGGAUGGAUGAGACAGUACUCACAGUAGACUGAGUAGAGUACCCAAUGGAAGAAAGGACAACAUGGAGAAUGGUCUAGGAAAGAAAAUAAGUAAAAGCGAAGUGAAAGUGAAUUUAAAAAGGUUGCACACAGGCUACAGAACAUUCCUAACUAACAAGGGUUAAGUAUUUGCCUUCUAAUUUCUACAUCCUUGCGGCACAUUUUGUUGGCAAUAAUCAAAAUAACUAAUCACUUGACUGAAAACACAAUCUAUGUAUAUAAGAAGUGCUUGCAAAGUAUAGCCACAGAUUCAAGGGAGAAAUAUGAGAAAAAGGUGUCACACUUAACUGAUUCAGUUAAUAUAUUUUGGAACUUUCAAUGGCCGAGUUCUAGUGUCCAUAAGGUAACUAGUCGUAAAAAUAUUGCUAAGUGAGAACAGUUUGGAUUGAGAUAAUGCAAGCAUACGAAUGUUCGAUGGUGAUUGCACUUUAUGAAAAACUGAAAACUGAGUUGUCUAUGUGAAAUUGCUGGUGAGGAGCUAAAAGUUUCCAAAACUCAUGUUUCAUCCAGAAUCCUUGUUAUAAUCUCCUCUAGUAUGUUAAUAACACAGAUAUACAAGUCGUUUUUACUGGGUUAGUUCAGUUGCUGUGCAUGCAAAUCUGAGUUUGCUUUCAGUGUUGUAAGAAUCAAAUUCUAAUUUCAGUGCAGAUCUCUGGCUCAAAAUAACAGAAAAUUGAAGAUAAAUUUCAUUUUAUGAAAUUUCAGUCCUUGAUCGCUUGAAUGCUUGAGGAAGAGGCUUUUCUUCAGCCUUACAACGGAUUACACUGAAAUAUUGGAAUUUGGUUAAGAGAAUACUGAGGAAGGAAAAGAAAAGAAACACAGUGUUGUUACAUAAAAGCCGCUCUUCAUACAUUAGAUAUAUAAAACCGAUAUAAAGGAUACACUAUCUCCAUAUCCAAGCUUCCUAUUAGGAGAGGUAUUCUUAUCCAAAUUUUUUAUAAAAAGAGAAAGACACAAAAAGCCUGUGGAUCAGUGGUUGAAAUGGAAGAGGGAGAUUGAAGACUCGACCAUCUUCUGUGGUCCCUCAGCUCCCUGCUGCGUGAAAGCAACAAAAACCAAUUUUUUUCCGGUUGCAGUUGUUCACACAAUUAAGUAAAUCUUUAUAUCCCUUCUUUCUCUAGUGAGUGAGGCUCUCAUUUUAUGUGGCCAGCCACUCAUAUAACUCGUGUGAAUCCUCUAAUGUGCAGGCAGUCUUCAUCACUUAAAACAUAAUCUAUAUUACUACUGAUAGGGAUCAGAGUAACUUAAAUGGUUGAUGAUGAUAAUCUCUUUAAAUUUCAAACUCCUAUCUAAUAGACACCAAAUUUAAUACUAGUUUCUCACAAUUACAUACUUGAUCCCAAUUGAGCAUUGAUAGUUCUAGCAACUAGUCUUAAAUCAUCGUCGUCCUGAAAACAUAUCCUCUACCUCUAGCAAAAUUAGUGUGAUCUUCUGGUUAAAUUUUGUCCAGUCAUCUUGGCUCGGAAGAAUUUGACUUCAAUAAAUUGGUGAGAAGUCCUAUUGAAUGCUAACUUUCUCUUCAUUGUGUUCUUCCAUGAUUAUAAGGAGAUCUUGUGGCCUUGUUGGCAGUGUUUAGGUGUUUUACUAUAUUAAGUAAAUCCCUCCCAAAUAGACUCAUUAUUUGAAGAAACUUGGAAGACAUUUAAGCUUGUAGCCACUUUCUUUUUCUUUUUUCCCCUGGCUAAGUGAUGCUGUGUUGUUUACCCACCUUAGUUUCUCAGAACCCAUCUUCUGAAAAACAAAAAUGGAGGCAAGGUUCAUAUAAAUCUUUUCAUUGCAAAAGUGAAUGAUGGUUCUAACUUCUCUAAGAAAUUGCAUUGGGUGUGGAGAGCUAAACAACGUAACAGUUCUUAUUCACAUCUCUAUGGGAUGGGACUGUAAGUGUCUUCCUAAUCACAUCUCUAACUAGGUGAGUGUGCUUAUUCACCUCCUCUUCUGCAUGUUUCUCUUUUCCUUCAUAUUGCUCGAAUGCUCCCUACUCCCACAAUUGCAGUCACACAGUGAGUAGGACAACAAUUGGGUAUAUGUCCUCAUUCACCACAUCCAAGACACCUAAGUUGUGGGACCAUCUUUUCUCUUAUUUGGUGGUUUCUUAGGCACUUAACCUGUUAGGAAGUCGUUGAGGUUUUCAUAGGGUGAAUCCGAAAGCUUCAAGAGGUUCUUUGCAAAUACUAUCUUUUUGCUUAGGCUCUUACUUAAGUUGUAGUGCCACUUAGCAGAUAUCCUUCAUUGUCCACAAGUUGUCAUCUUAUAUUUUGUGUCCAUUGAAGAUGAAGGACAAGAGCUCCAAUUUAUACUUUACCAUAUUUACUAUACUUACUACAAGGAUACUCUACAUUCGUGCAUUCCGUGCUGAGUCAUAUUGCUGUGCAUCGGCCUGUAUUGAUGCAUAGGCACAUGCAUCGGUGCAAACAGAUAUAUAGUUAAAUAGGCUUUUAUCUUUCCCAUUUUAAAUGUGUAAUUGACCUUCCUAAACAACCUUAUUUCAAUUUGGGAUGGUUUGUAACUCUUCCUCAUUACUUCUUUUGCCAUAUUUAAAAUUGAGAUUGGAUGUGAUAAUUACAAGCAGCAAUCAUUUUUACACUGGAACAAGAGAUAGAAAUUAAUAGAGAUUUGAAUUACUCUACUCUUAGCUUGUGGCUCAGAAAUGAAACAUUGAUUUCGUUAUCCAUUUACAUUGAAGCUGUUGCCAAUGAACUAAGAUUGAUGUUAUCAUCAGGAUUUUGAGUAUACAGAGUUAAAUAAAGUUCUACAGUACUACCCACAUGGUUGUCAUGGCGUGGAUAAGGAGGGAAGACCUGUUUACAUUGAAAGGCUUGGAAAAGUAGAUCCCAACAAGCUAAUGCAAGUGACAACAAUAGAUCGAUAUAUUAAAUACCAUGUGAAGGAGUUUGAGAGGUGCUUUGCAAUCAAAUUUCCAGCUUGCUCGAUAGCUGCAAAGAAGCAUAUUGACUCAAAUACAACAAUUCUAGAUGUUCAAGGCGUGGUAUGUAUUAUAUCAUCGUUUGUAAUGCAGAAAUACACUUUGCAAACUUGUCUAAUUAUUUAGUUGUCGAAUGCUAGUGUAGAUAAUAUGCCUUGUUUGAUGACUCUUCUCCUUUUGGAAGGGUUUAAAAAACUUCACCAAGUCUGCAAGAGAACUUAUUGUGCGGUUGCAGAAAAUUGACAAUGAUAACUACCCAGAGGUAUAUAAUUUGUAUUUGCUAUUUGGUUUACGAUCUUGAAGCCUCUUUGCUAUUAUAUUAUAAUCCUUACAUAACCUUUUUUAAUUAUUGGUGGCUCCACAUUGGAAUCUGGGAAUUCACCUGGAUAAGGAUCUCUUAUAAUUUCUAAAUAUUUGUGCAGACAUUGUGCCAAAUGUUUAUUAUUAAUGCUGGCCCAGGGUUUCGGCUACUAUGGAACACUGUGAAAUCUUUUCUUGACCCUAGAACUACUUCCAAGAUUCAUGUAAGAUAUGAUUCUGGCCCUUAGUAAUCCUUUUCAAUGAAUGGUGAUUCUUUCACCUAGAUAUUAGGUAACUACUCUAUGAAUUUGAUCAAAUUUUAUCAGGUUCUUGGAACCAAGUACCAAAAUAAGCUGCUUGAAGUAAUUGAUGCCAGGUUAGUUUUUUUUCCCUUCCCCUUCAGUUUGCAUGUACUUAUUAUGGAAGCAUUCUCAUCUUCUAACUCUGCCACUUAUCUCCAACUUUGUGCCUUGCAUUCUUUAGUGAGUUGCCAGAAUUUCUUGGUGGUACUUGCACAUGUGCUGAGCAUGGAGGAUGUCUUAAAUCUGAUCGAGGCCCAUGGAAGGACCCUGACAUAUUGAAGGUCUCUCUCUCUCUCUCUCUCUCUCUCAGAGACACAUAGUUGAUACAUUUUGAUGGGUUUUACUGGUACUCAGAUGGUCCUUAGUGGUGAAGUCCAAUGUGCUAGGCAAAUUGUUACUGUUUCAAAUGGUGAAGGGAAGAUCAUUGCUUAUGCUAAGCCACAAUACCCAACUGUAAGAUCUUAUACUUUUUAUGUUUCAUUUUUAACAAGAUGUGUUCUGUUUUAUAUUAAAACCCUUUUCCACCCUCUUACUGGACCAGAUAAAAGGAGGGGACACAUCUACUGCUGAGUCUGGGUCAGAAGCCGAAGACAUUGCUUCUCCAAAAGCACCAGAGAACUAUAGCUCUGAUCCCCAGUUGACCACUGUUCUUGAAGAGGUACAUUUAAAUUGCCUUGAAGGAUAUUAUAGUGUUGAAGAGUAGUCUCUACUUCUAAAGAAUAUAAUAAGGUUUUGAUGUCUUGUAGUCUGUGUGGUGAGGAUUCUGAAUGCUCGACAAAAGUGCUGUUUUGAAUUUGAGUUAGCCAUAGUUAGAAACCUAAAAGUAGGUUCCAUAUGGCUAUUAUUUUGAUUUCCUUUCCUUUUUUUCUUCAGUUGCAUGUUGUGAUAUUAGAUGUUAGGUCAGGGAACAUGUUGGAAGUUCCAGCAUGAUUAAAGCAACUACAGUUACAAUAGACCAUGCCCUUGCAUAUAGCUUGUACGUGCAUAAAUAAGCACCUGGUCUUAUCCCAGUGAGAUGAGGCUUUCUUUGUCUGCUAAAGUAUGAUCCAUGUUUAAGUCCUUAACAGACAUUGAUGUUCAGGCUUGGUGCAACUCUCCAGUCAAGGUUGCUAUGAGUAAGAUAGUGAUUUGUCAUGAAGUAUAUUGUAUAAUUCCAAAUUGCCACUUCACAUGAUAUUGAGGAGAAACAAGUAGAAAUGAGGAAUCAAAGGAGCUGACUCACUUGGUAUUUUGUUCUGUUAAAAUCACUGCAGGAAAAACUGCUCGUGGUAUUAGGUCUUUGGCUUGUGCAAGUGUCAGUGCUGUAUUAACUACCUGCUAAAACAGGGGAGCCUCCUAUGAUGAAACCUCAACCAAUUGGCUAGAAAUAAAUAAAACAACACAAUGAAUAAUGAAUUUUAUAUUUUGCUUAUCCACAUAGCUUAACAAUCUAUAGAUAUCAUAAACAAGAGCUUCAGAAGAAAAAAAGAUGAAACAAGGAAUUGGUGGACAAAAGGAAGUGAGAAGCAAAAGGCAGAAACAUAAAGUGUAUAAUUAGAUAUUCAAGUAAAGUCAUCAAUAGUUAGUGGCAAGAAUGGAUGAUAGGUAAUAGAAGAAAAUGGUUGAUGUAUUGAUGAUCUUUUUAGAUUACUAUGCAUGAACGUAGGUCUUGCACCUUUGGUAGUUUCAGUUAUGUGUCAGCGCGCUAAAUAGAUAUUUAAUCCUUGAGUCUAUCAUCUUUAAAACAUUUAAGCACUCCAUUUUUUAUGGACAAUGAAAGAAAACACAAACAAAUUUCCCAGGUGCUCAUCUUUGCCUAUUAGAGCUCUCAAAAACUUAUAAGCAAGGGUGAUAGUAUGAGCAUAGAGAUAGAGGAUAUUUUUCAAGUGUAAAACAUUUCAGAGAUCUAUGGUCACAAUCUUAAGAUGGAAUUGUGAUCACGGUUUCAAGUUUUUGUGCUCGGUAUUUAAAGCUGCAGAAUUUAAUAAUUUUAGGAAGCAUUUGGGGUUUAGUCAACAACAUUGUUUCUCAUAUACAUAUGAGGGAAUUCUAUGGUUCCUAUUGAUUCAAUGGUGGUGUGCUUUUUCCUUUUCUCACCAAUUCCAAUUUCUUUUCCAAUCAGAAUACAGUGCAGUAAUUCCAGCAAUUNNNNNNNNNNNNNNNNNNNNNNNNNNNNNCCACCCCCACCACACACAAAAACCAAAACCCACACCACCACACACACACACAAAAAGAACCCAAAUAUAAAUGGGUCCAAACCCAAGCAUGCUGGGUCACCAUGGGUUGGACAGGCUCUUAAAACCUAGCUGUAGGACCCUAGGAAGGUGGUAACAGCGCAAUGGAUCAUGUAUAUACAAGAGUUUAAUUCUGGUUCUUAGGGAGCCCAUGUUAUUCAUGGUUAAAAAAGGAAGAAAAUAUACUAAAGAGAAGGCACAGGUGCGAUUAGGAUUUGUUACAUUCUCUGUUCCACUUUAGCCUCCCUCUCCUCUCUCUCGUACUAUAUUGGACCCUAUUUCAUUUUUACUCUUUGUGAUAUAUUAAUGACUAGAAAUAUCCUUUUAGGUUGAAUUGUUUGAUAUGGGUCCAUGAAAUUAUGUGGUUCGGUUAUGGGUUUACUUUUCAGUUUAAUUACAAAUGGGUUGGUUUUGGGCUGAGAGUUCUUUGACCUGACCUAAAUCUGACCUGACUCUAACCUGAUUAACCCAAUUCAGGAGAUUCACAUAGAGGGAGGAGAAGAAAGAAGAAAGAGAUAGUGGAUGAAUGGGGAAAACAUCCAUAUCAAGCUUUAACACAGCCCCUAAUUUAAUAAUGCAGUCAUCAUGACCUUUUCAAAGCAGAUCCAAUUCAAGGAUUCCGAAAUCUUUGGCAAAUCCAUGAUGUGGAAAUCUCAGCAAAUAUGGUAAACUGAAUAUUAAUACCCAUUUAUGACAUUAUUCUAAACAUUUUUAAUAUCUUAAAAGAUUAUUUUGAUUUUGUGAGAGCUUGUUUAGGAAGGCUUGGGUGACA